rnacentral:lncRNA from 1 species
GCGGAAAAGGUAGCUUGGCGGCUUGUGCUAAAGAAGGGCCUUUGAAGGGUCAACUCCCCUCGGUGACCAGUGGUCCUCCUUUCUGAAGGCUCUUGCUACAAAGGAAAGAUGAGGAUAUUCUAUUUCUUGAUCCCUCUCAGCUACUGGGAGCUGCUUUGUGCCUUGGAAGCCUCAAGCUGAAAUGGAUGUCAGCCUCAAGUUUAACUCCAAGAGGGUUCACCUUGUUUCUUUGAACAAAAUGUGCUGCCUGUUGCUUCCCUUUGCCAGGAGUGGUGUUCCCUUUUCCACAGGUCUGGACCACAGUGUCUCUAGCUCCCGCUCCUGGAUACUUGGUUACUGUGUGUUUCGGUAAAAAAGCAUCCACAACAUGAAUAUCCACUAAGCUGUAACAGGGCCUGCUGCAACUAUAGUAUUUCCUGAAAAAGUAUCAACUGCCACAAGGGCCACAAAUAAAGUCUGUGAACUUGA